GGCACUAUGGCCGAGUGGUUAAGGCGAAAGAUUAGAAAUCUUUUGGGCUCUGCCCGCGCAGGUUCGAGUCCUGCUGGUGUCG
rfam:Nadsonia fulvescens var. elongata DSM 6958 unplaced genomic scaffold NADFTscaffold_3, whole genome shotgun sequence.